CACAGACACCAACCUCUCUGACUCACUGAAGGAGGUUCAGAUUCCUGUCAUUGGAAAUAAGCAGUGCAGUUGCAACUACAGCCCAAUGCAAGGAUUAAACAUCACUGACAAAAUGAUUUGUGCAGGACAAGAGAACAAAAGGAGCAUGCCAGGGGGAUGGUGGUGGACCUUUGCAAUGCAAACAAUCCACAAUGUGGAUCCAGGCUGGCAUUACUAGUUUUGGAAUACCUUGUGCCCUAGCUGGUUUCCCUGAGGUUUAUUCCCGAGUGUCUGAGUUCCAGACUUGGAUCACGAAUCAAGUGAUGGUCGCAAAUGUUCACUUUGUGACCUUCAGAUCCAGUGGCACCGACCAGGACAACAGCUUUGUGUGUCGCAGCUCCGUCACUGGAAAUGCAACCACAGCAGCGCCAAACGCAACUUCCACAGCAGCGCCAAACGCAACUUCCACAGCAGCACUAAAUGCGACUUCCACAGCAGCGCCAAACGCGACUUCCACAGCAGCGCCAAACCUGACUUUCAUGGCAUCAACCGUUGCAACUGAACUUCCAUUGGUUGUCAUCUUAGUGACAGUGUUCCUGCAGCACAUUGUAGGUCCAUAGCAAAGGUUUCAAUUUAAAACUUCUCAGUUUCUUCUUCUGUUGUUGUGGGUUCUCUUGUCUUUUAGAAUCACAUUACAAAGAUUAUGUUUAUAACAUGAUGAUUAUAGCGGAGUUUGUGUGGUGAAAGUUUAACGCUGAAGCAUGGUCUUGUCUCUGUUGCAACAGUUUUUUGAAUUUCACUUAAUCAUUUACUAUUGGCCUGUUUUAAUGUAACACAAACUUCAUUCAACAUAUUGUGCAUCUCCUCUGAAAUACCAAUAAUCUUUCAGAAAUAUGGCAUAAAGCCAUUCAUGUUAUCAGUUGCACCACUAUACACUAAAGCUAAUAAA